AUGGGAUCAUCUUGUCCCCCUCUGCCAUUUCCUAGGUAGAAACUGAGGCUUGGAGAGAGGAAGGGACCCCAACAAGUCAACAGUGGCUGGACCACAUGCGUCAGGGCCUCCUGGCAGGGCUGGGGCGCAUCCUCGGGAUGAUGCAACAGGCCCCACCAAGCAGCUUGACACACGGUCCGUCCGUCUGUGGCCAAGUGGAGUCACCAGACUUCCACUCCUGGACUCUGUUAUAGAAAUAUUACUGUCUCACAGUUUUCACAGGCUGUGGGUGUUUAUAACUCGUCUGAUCUUCACAACAACUCUGGUGAGCAGGCCUGAGUACGGAUUAUCAUCGGCAUUUUACAGAUGGGAAAACUCAGGCUCAGAAAGGACGGUGGAGAAAUAGAGCUGCUCCAGCCAGGCUGGGAUUAGAAGUCAGGACGCUUGACUCCAGCCCGGGUCCUCGGGACCUUUGCUGGUCCAUACAGAGCAGUUAUGUUACUCAGGAAAAUGUGCCGCCCCCUUGGGUUCACGGCUUGGUGACAGACAAGAGGACUUCAGCUACUACACAGUGCCUGAUGGGGAAUAAGCCGAAGAUACUGUGCAGGACUUGACUUCCUCUGCCAGACCCAGCAGGCUGGCCAGUACUUGCUCAGCCGAGCUCUCUUCUGACGGCUGCACAUCGCUGUUGCCCUGCUGGACACAUAUUUGUGGUGGUCGUAUUUUUCCUCCUUAAUUUAUAGUCCAAGUUUUGAAGAUGAAGAAUGUCUUCCAGCCUCUGCACCCCCUCCUCAUCCAUGCUGGGAAAAUGGGAGAAGACAGUGGACUCUGGACUCUCUCCCUGCCCCUCAGAAAAAAUCUGACAUUCCUCUCACAUUAUUGGCUACAUCAAGAAAUUUCAGAGGCUUUGCAGUGAGGGGAGUCCCUUAGCACUGCAGCAGGCUCACAUGGUGCCCUCCCCAACAGUCCCGAUGGUGCAAGGCCCACAGCCAGUGGCAUCCCCGUUGGUCAUGGGUCUGUGGCUUCUUCUUUCUAUACCAGCACAAUGUGAACGAGUGAGCAAACACUCGAUUUCUCUGUGUGUGCAGGGGAAAGUGUAUAAAUACAUUGGGGUUGGAGGUUAUGUGAGUGUGUGCAUGUGCGUGCAGAUUGCGUGUGUGCGUGUGUGUGUGCAUGCACUCCCUUAGGCUGGGACUGGAGGUGGUGGGGGGUGCUUGCAUAUGCUAGGGCUGGAGGUCGGGUGGGGUGUGGGACAGGGAGAAGAAAUUUGUAUAUGAUUUGAGAUUUCUCAGGCUGCCUCUUGCCAAGUGGUUUCCUCUGAAGCUCAGAAUCAGCCCAUAUGGCCUGGGGGGUGGAAAAUCUCACUGUCAGCAGCCAGUCUCUGACUCAUUCUGAAAGCCUGCGGGCCUGCCGCUGACUGCCAUGGGCUCCAUGCUCCGACUGGCUCAUCCCUGCCUUCAGGUUGUGCCUCUGAGGACCCAUGCCCCUUCCCAACAGCUCGGAGGGGUCACAGAGACCCUUUGUCACAUCCAUCCCCCUGACUCCUCCCUCCUGCUGGUCCUCUUCCCCACAUCGCAACUCCCUCCGCCAUUCCCUCACUCUGUGUUCAAAGAUCUCCCAGCAAACGUGUCCUCUACCCACCCCAGGAGGUCCUGGAGUGUCUUCAAAUUCCCACAGCUCCUAGCGGCCGUAUCUGCUCUGCCAUCCCUUCCUUUAUCUCUUACUAGCACUCCCUGCUGGGACCUGUCAUCCCAGAGCCAUGGACACAUGAUCAACAUCACCUCUGCUGGGACAGGAGCCACUGAGACUGUGCCCAACAGAGAAGCUGUUAAAACAUGCAGUUCUUCUGUCACAGAAUGUGCGCCCCAGGCACCUCAUGCCAUCCGAGACCCUCCCCUUGCUCCUGAUCCCUUCCCUACCUGUGGGGAGAGUCCGGGUGGGUGGGGCAUGGGGUAAGACGAGGUGUGUUUGUUGGGAGCAUUAGCCAGCAGGAUAGCAGCUGUGCUAGAUUCAGAUCCAGCCAUCCUGAUGCAUCACAAAGGGGCUUCAAAAGGACCACAUCAAAAGGCCAAGCAUCUCUCCCAGGAUUGUGCCACCUACUGCGCUGGGAGCUGGAUCCUCCAUGCAAGCCGCCUCUUCCUAGGAAUCCAUAGACCAUGAUCAGAGCCACAGGGAGACUUCACACAGCCUGCUAGCUUCCUAAAUCCAUUCUCCCAGCUCCUCUGUUCUUCCACUACUUAAUCCCUCCUUCCCACGUCUGUCCUUGAUCUUGGCAUGAAGCCCCCAGCUGCCAGGUUCCGGGGAUGCCCUAUGGAACAACCAGAGCAGUCCAGCAUGGACCCCUGCACAGCCCAGGGGGGGCACCACCUCAUGGGAGCCAAGCUGGGCCCAGGGAGACGAGACUUCUUCCUCUUCCUCGAGAUGCCCUCAGACAAGAAACUCACUACCACCCAAGGCCCCUUCUGAUCAUUAAUGCAGUGGAUUAUGAAUUACAGUGUCACCAAAAGAGAUGAACAAAAAUUCAACUUAAAGUUGAUUUUGAGCUGCUAUUCUUGCCAGGUAAUAGAAAACACAGUUAGUCAUUUCCGGACAAGCUGAGUCCCUGUAGGAUAUGUGCCAUCUCUCUGGGGUGAACAGUCAGAAGAGGACCCUGCCUGCCUCCUCUCUCACCAGGCGACGUCUGAGUUCCGGGGUCUCAGGGCGUUGAUGGGGAGGAGACGUCUGCUUCCUGUCCCCAUCGGUCCUCUGAUGACACACCCUGGAUGUAAGGUUCUCCUCCAGGAUUUGGUCUUUGCAUGUUGGGGUCUCAAGGAAACAGCGGCUGUGCAGGCCUCUCCAAGGUGUGAGAGGCUACCCCCCAGCUCCCCGGCGCCACCUGCCAUUCUUUUGGCUGCUACAAGAAAAGGAAUAAGGGAUGGAUGGUUUGACUUGCAGCACAUGCUGCCUAUUAUUUUUGGUUGUUCUACAUUUUAACCCCGAUGGUAUUCCAGGCAACUGAAAGGAAGUUGCUGGAGAAGAAGACUUUACCUCAAUAUAUAGAAGCUGCCCUUGACAUGUUGCAGGAAUAUGGGUUUUGGAGAAGACAGACGUGGGUUCGUAAAUAAGAGUGUGAACUUCCUGACACACAGGAAUUAAAACGUGAUCAGAAAACAUUCUUCACUAGGAUGAGGAAUUGAGAAGUCAGGGAGGAGAGCUACAUUUCAUUGAGGGCCCCUAUUUUUCUCUUUAGAAAUGUUCAUUGCUUUUUUAAUUGUGAAAGUCACACAAAUUCGUUAUGGGAAAUUUUUGAAAUGUAAAAAUGGUGUAAACAAAAACAUUAAAAGUCACCCAUAAUCUCACCAGAAACGACCGUUGUAAAUAUUUUGACAUGUUUUCUUCUGGCCUUUUGUCUCUGUGUGUGGGUGUGUGUAGAUUUACAUAAUUCUGCUAAUUCUUUUACACACACUUUGCAUCCUCUUUUUGUUGUGUUUUUUUUGUUUGUUUUCUUACAUCUACUGUUAUACCAUGAGUUUUUUCAAUUUUCCCCUAAAAUAUCUGUGAAGCCACCAAAAAACAAGAUGAAAGAGAAACUGAAAAAUAAACGUAUCUUUUCUUGAGGGCAU
ensembl:lncRNA